CAGCUGUUUCUCCACCCAAUAGCCAAUCACUACCACAGUCAAGCUAAAUGACUAUAACCAAGCGCUGAGUGGGAGGCAACCCUCUAUUAGAUAUUUUAUUUUGGUUUUAUUAGCUAGCAUUUAUUUACUUUCAUUUUAUUUCUUUCAGAUUUAGGAGACCCAAGUAGAAGGACCUGAAUAUCGACCGCCGACGAGACGUCGACAUCGCUCGACAUAG
rnacentral:lncRNA from 1 species